rnacentral:rRNA from 1 species
CACGUAGGGUGCGAGCGUUGUCCGGAAUUAUUGGGCGUAAAGAGCUCGUAGGCGGCUUGUCACGUCGGGUGUGAAAGACCGGGGCUUAACCCCGGUUCUGCAUUCGAUACGGGCUAGCUAGAGUGUGGUAGGGGAGAUCGGAAUUCCUGGUGUAGCGGUGAAAUGCGCAGAUAUCAGGAGGAACACCGGUGGCGAAGGCGGAUCUCUGGGCCAUUACUGACGCUGAGGAGCGAAAGCGUGGGGAGCGAACAGG